CCCAGCGGGCGUUGCGCGACUCCGCGCGGGCUCCAGAAAGCGGGGACUUCUGGGACUUGUAGUGCCAGCUCGCGCCUCCCACUUCCUGGGGGGUAGCCGGGCGGGCGCCUGACGGAAGCUUCAGAACUCUACUCAACUGUUCUUUGCUUCUCCGAGGUCCUGGAAUCCGUAUCCCACCCACCACACCCAAAUUCUAUGGACGUGUAGAGAUCAGAGAAAGCUGAUUGUUCUGAGAAAGCUCUUCAAUCUUCUGCUGGACGGUUUCUGUAGAGACCUGACUUUCCAUUUCUGUGAAGUGCCCAGAACUCUUAGACCAAAAUGGGAGAACAACCUUCUUCAUUAUUUUUCUUCACUGAGCUUAUAAUCCUGCAGAUGUUGGUCACUGUUUGCUUCUGUGCUAGCGUGGCCUUCACCAUCAAACAAGGAUACAGCAACACAGCAUAACUCCCAGGAAACAUCUUAUCACAAAUUGGCGUCUGCUAUAAGGUAAGUUAAUAAUGCAAGGUUGAGCAAGUCUUUCUUUGAAGUAGAUCCUGGAAGGGUCCAGUAUUACAAUUUUGCUUAGGCCGUAGCCUUUUUGUACUGCCAUCAAUAAAGUGAGACUUAUAAUUGAUUAGUAAUAGUGACUAUGAUAGUAAAAACAAAAUACUACUACUAAUACUAAUUAAAUAGAUGUCAAAAUUUGAG
rnacentral:lncRNA from 1 species